AAGCGUUAUCCGGAAUUACUGGGUGUAAAGGGAGCGUAGGCGGUAUGGUAAGCCAGAUGUGAAAGCCCGAAGCUUAACUUCGAGGAUUGCAUUUGGAACUAUCAAACUAGAGUACGAGGAGAGGUAAGUGGAAUUCCUAGUGUAGCGGUGAAAUGCGUAGAUAUUAGGAAGAACACCAGUGGCGAAGGCCGACUUACUGGACUGAAACUGACGCUGAGGCUCGAAAGCGUGGGGAGC
rnacentral:rRNA from 1 species